GGCAGCUGGAGAGCAGAGGAGCGGAGUGAUCUGUGAGCGUUUACUCCCCCCUGGCACGCAGGAGAGCAGAACAGGGGCUGUAUGAGUGUUUACAUCUAGGAGGAAAAAUGGAUGCACAUCUGAGGUGAAGGUUUAUGUUUAAUAUUUGUGUCACUGUAUCAUAUAUUUGAACUGCAGCCUAUACCUGGCCAAUGGACUGCGAAUCCCAAGAACCAAGACUGUCCUUUGGGGUGAGGUAGUAGGUUGUAUAGUUUUAGGGUCAUGCCCUUCCUGUCAGAUAACUAUACAACUUACUGUCUUUCCUGAAGUGACUGUAAUGUCAUCGUCCUCCACAAAUGGACCAACCAUGGAAUCCUUACAGCAGUGCAAGUGCCUUUGUGAUACUCAAAAGUCAAGACUUAUACAUAAACAUGGUAUGAGAUGGUUUGAUGUCAAAUUAAAUGGUGUGCAUGUCUGUAUUGCAGACAGUCAAUAAAGUUGCAUUUUUUGGUGCAGUAAAUACACGUACAAUAUACAUUUUCUGUUAAGAUAUAUUAAGUGUUGAAUAAAUCUGGCUGUAUUUUGCCUUUAUAUAAUAAUGAUUAUAUGCAGAAACAUCUGAAAAAUGAUGUCUAUCCUACUUCUUCACUGACUUGAUAGCCACAACCCACGAACAAUGGACUUUCUGUCCUCUAUCUCAAAGUACUGAGAGCAAUGGACUUUCACUGGUACUUUCUGUCCUGAUGGCAACCAAUGAUGUUCGCACAGGGUGAGGUAGUAGGUUGUGUGGUUUCAGGGUAGUGAUUUUGCCCCAUCAGGAGAUAACUAUACAACCUACUGCCUUCCCUGGAGGGCAGCGAUACAGCGCCAGAUUACACAGCAGUUCAAGUCCAUCAGGGCCAAAGAAAGACCAGAUGCAGGCCAAGUCCAUUCUAGAAAAAAACCCAAAGCUACCUCACCUGGGAUGUCUAUGUACAGUAUGAGUGGGACAUUACUUCAGGUAGGACAGUUCCAAAUUCUCUGUGUUAGCCUCACAUUGGUGAACACUCAAUUCAUUUUUCCACUUCGCUUGCCUGUCCCCAACAAUUGCUCUUGCAUGUUCAAUGUGAGAUGAAUAAAAACAAUUGAUUGUUGCUUAA